GGGGGCGAUAUGGAUUCGACGCCGGUUACAAAACCUUAGGUGCAUGCCGAGAGGGUAGUAACUCUCGUAAAACAAUUACUGUAACUUUUAUAGUUGCCAAUGACGAAAACUACGCACUAGCAGCUUAAAAAUCUCUUAGGAGAAAUUUAAACCUGCUUAUCCCGGGGCGGAUGUGCCCAUGUAUCCAAACCGGGAGCUCGACUCAUGGGACCGCUGCCAAGCCCCGCUUGUGACGGAAGCAGUUAAACUUAAAGCAAGCUCGCCUUUCUAAUCCCUGUUCGCCGGGCCAGUGGAAGGUUAAAUAAUAGACGAAAUAAGCAUGUAGAGCCGAAGGCGGAGAACUGACGGACGCGGGUUCGAUUCCCGCCGCCUCCACCA
rnacentral:tmRNA from 2 species